rnacentral:sRNA from 17 species
CUUGUAUGUAAAUUAUAAUCCACACAUACAUCGACACAUAAGGCGGGGUGCUUGUCUAAGAACAGGUCGGCUUAUGGGAUGUAUGGAGGCUUAAC